UACGUAGGGAGCAAGCGUUGUCCGGAAUCAUUGGGCGUAAAGCGCGCGUAGGCGGCCCGAUAAGUCCGCUGUGAAAGUCAACGGCUCAACUGUUGAAAGCCGGUGGAUACUGUCGGGCUAGAGUACGGAAGAGGCAAGUGGAAUUCCUGGUGUAGCGGUGGAAUGCGCAGAUAUCAGGAGGAACACCCAUAGCGAAGGCAGCUUGCUGGGACGUUACUGACGCUAAGGCGCGAAAGCGUGGGGAGCAAACAGG
rnacentral:rRNA from 1 species